AAGUUCAUGCAGGAGAGGUGACUUCACCUGGAACUUGCUUGCUAAUCCCUGACAACCCUUCAUUUCAGUAACGAGGCUCCUUUUGGAAAGCUGAUGGCAUCCCUCCCCUCUCUAAACCUGUCACCACUUAACAGGCUUUGGUGCUGUGAGGACCUCCAAGGGAAGCCAAGGAUGUGGAGCAGUGACUUCAAUCCUCAGCCAUCAUUUAUGUUAUCAGUCAUCCUCAAAUCCCAGCACAAACAACACUACAGGGGCAGAAGCACAGCCGAUGCCAACGCUGCACUCUUGGCAGCAGGACAACUUCAUUGAAGUGCCAGGCAGGAUCCCCCAUUGUAUAAAUCAAUGCAUUUUAUCACAAACCUGGGCCUUCUGGUAAUAAACUAAACAAGAGCUGCUGCUUUCCUCAUGGAUGUAAUCAGCAAACAGUAUUAUUGCAAAGAGUCCAUCACUUGGCCUGAGGCACUGAGUACUCCUAUUCUACAGCAAGGACGUUGGGGGAGCGCGUCUCGUCAGGGAAGCCUGCAGGGGAUUUCCAUUCCUCACAAGCUCACAUGCUCAGGAUUUAACUAGAGCAUCUCUUUCAGCUUCUGAGGACACAGAUUCAUCUUUGUCUUUGAAGGGAAGAUGAUAGAGUGAUUAUAAUGCUGUCUUUCAUAUGUGAGGUGGGAGAACCAGCUACACAGGGAUGGUUUCCACUACAGAGAAGAGGUUAUAUUUACUGAGUAUUUAGUGGGUCUGAGAAAUGUUGGCUAAAAAAAAUCACUGUAAAGGUUAGAGACAAAAAAAAUCCUUUUUCAGGCUUUUUGGACUUGUCUUUGUGUAGUAGCACAGACAUGAAGAAGAUAACACUGAGAGAUGAUUCACCUUGCUUGCUCUGGUGAGAGUGAAUCCGCAGCUACUUACACCCAAUGCAAGAAAAAAGGAAAAAAAUAUUGAUCCAGAGUUCCCACAUCUAUGAUCUACAUCCUUGUGUUUCCCCUAAAGAAAAUUUAUGGCUCCCCAUCAGCAGUAAAUCAGAGGACUGACUUUCCUGCUCCUUCUCAGACAGAUGCUCUGUUGUACAACAUGAGAGAAAGUCCCCAAAGUGUGGAGGAUAUGAAGGUUUAACACAUGGGCAGGUCUGGAUAACAGUUCAGAGCAAGAAGAAGAAAGACAGAUCAGCUGCCAGCCUGGUGGAAAAUAGCAAGCUUUUCAUUACGUUUAAUGCAUCUGCUAACUGUAGUUCUAUAGAACACUACUGUAUAAAUAGAUGGUUAUUUAUACCAAUAUU
rnacentral:lncRNA from 7 species